UCAAACUUGGUCAUUUAGAGGAAGUACAAGUCGUAACAAGGUUUCCGUAGGUGAACCUGCGGAAGGAUCAUUACCAAUAACUAGAUGCCGUGUGGCAACACGCGGCGUUCUAACACAUUGUGAACAUGUAACUGCUUUGGCGUGCGCGUGGCGGCGCCGGGGGAGCCUUUGGCAGAGGGACAGCCAUUGUCCGCACACUCUGCCAGAGGAACACAUUAACCUUUGUAACCUAUAUUCUUAAAAGCACAAAACAUAUACAACCUUUAACAAUGGAUCUCUUGGUUCCUGCAUCGAUGAAGAACGCAGC
rnacentral:misc_RNA from 1 species